UACGUAGGGUGCGAGCGUUAAUCGGAAUUAUUGGGCGUAAAGCGUGCGCAGGCGGUUCGUUGAGUCGGUGGUGAAAUCCCCGGGCUUAACCUGGGAAUGGCCAUGGAAACUGGCGAACUGGAGUGCGGCAGAGGGGGGUGGAAUUCCGCGUGUAGCAGUGAAAUGCGUAGAGAUGCGGAGGAACACCGAUGGCGAAGGCAGCCCCCUGGGCUAGCACUGACGCUCAGGCCCGAAAGCGUGGGGAGCAAACAGG
rnacentral:rRNA from 1 species